UGACGGCCACCUGGGACGGCUGAGGAGACGUCACAGCAUUAGCGAGACCCACUGUGGGGCUCUCAGCUCCUGGGAGGGUGCAUUCCCCCGACCUGGCCAGUGCACAAGGUAUCAAGACGUCAGCCGGAAUCCCGAGAAGGCGGUGCUCUCUUUCCGCUGGGAUUGCAGGAUUUGUAGAAGAUACGCCGAAAACCGCUGCUUACCUGCCGUUUAGUUUUUCCAUUGAGAAUAAAUGGAACACAGACCAAAGUAGGGAUGAAAACAGGCAAAUAGGAAGUGGCCUAGCAAACAUCACUUGCGGCCCUGGAUCCAGCUGUGUCUGAAGCCAGAAUCACUUCUGGAACUUUCUGGGUAUGUGAGUCAGUAAAUUCCCUUAAAUACGCAUAUCUCCACCUACACCACACGCCAAAGCUAGAUUAACCCGGGGUUCUGUGACUUGUCACUCAGAAUCCUGUCUGAUAACGGUGUAUAAGUCUGCGUGGGACACUAAUCUAGAGUGGCAUAAAAGCAGAGGUGGCCAGGUGGGGGCAGGGGUGUGCCCAAGGCUUCACUGACUGCCCAGUGGUGCCAGGGGACUUUGGGGGGACGAUGGAGACGUUCUGUAUAUUGAUUU
rnacentral:lncRNA from 1 species